rnacentral:rRNA from 1 species
GAUGAACGCUGGCGGCGUGCCUAAUGCAUGCAAGUCGAGCGAACAGGCCAUGCUCUUGCUCCUCUCUCGUUUGCGGCGCACGGGUGUGUCACACGUGUAUACCCUCCUUGUCAUUCGGGUAUCUCUUCGGAAAACCGGAUCUAAUCCCGUAUAAUAUCUUGAUCCGUGUUGUUGAUUGGUAAGUUACGGUUUUUGUGUCUCUUCUAGAUGGUUCCGCGCUGCAUGAGCUAGUUGGUAAGUUAACGGCUUUCCACGGCAACGAUGCGUAGCCGACCUGAGAGGGUGAUCGGCCACCCUGGAAGUGAGACACGGUCCAGACUACUGAGGGAGGCCGCAGUAGGGAACCUUCCGCAAUGGGCGAAAGUCUGACGGAGCAGCGCCGAGCGAGUGAUGAAGAUCCUCGGAUCGUAAAACUCUGUUAUUAGGGAAGAACAACUGUCUAAGUAAAUAUGCACGUAUUGACGGUAACUAAUAAGAAAGCAACGGCUAACUACGUG